rnacentral:rRNA from 1 species
AGUGAACGCUGGCGGUAGGCCUAACACAUGCAAGUCGAACGGCAGCACAGUAAGAGCUUGCUCUUACGGGUGGCGAGUGGCGGACGGGUGAGGAAUACAUCGGAAUCUACUUUUUCGUGGGGGAUAACGUAGGGAAACUUACGCUAAUACCGCAUACGACCUACGGGUGAAAGCAGGGGAUCUUCGGACCUUGCGCGAUUGAAUGAGCCGAUGUGGGAUUAGCUAGUUGGCGGGGUAAAGGCCCACCAAGGCGACGAUCCGUAGCUGGUCUGAGAGGAUGAUCAGCCACACUGGAACUGAGACACGGUCCAGACUCCUACGGGAGGCAGCAGUGGGGAAUAUUGGACAAUGGGCGCAAGCCUGAUCCAGCCAUACCGCGUCGGUGAAGAAGGCCUUCGGGUUGUAAAGCCCUUUUGUUGGGAAAGAAAAGCAGCAGGUUAAUACCCCGCUGUUCUGACGGUACCCAAAGAAUAAGCACCGGCUAACUUCGUG